rnacentral:rRNA from 1 species
UGCGGCGUGCCUAAUACAUGCAAGUCGAGCGAAUAUUAGGGAGCUUGCUCCCUGAUAUUAGCGGCGGACGGGUGAGUAACACGUGGGCAACCUACCUGUAAGACUGGGAUAACUUCGGGAAACCGGAGCUAAUACCGGAUAAUUUCUUUUCUCGCAUGAGAGAAGAUGGAAAGACGGUUUCGGCUGUCACUUACAGAUGGGCCCGCGGCGCAUUAGCUAGUUGGUGAGGUAACGGCUCACCAAGGCCACGAUGCGUAGCCGACCUGAGAGGGUGAUCGGCCACACUGGGACUGAGACACGGCCCAGACUCCUACGGGAGGCAGCAGUAGGGAAUCUUCCGCAAUGGACGAAAGUCUGACGGAGCAACGCCGCGUGAGCGAAGAAGGCCUUCGGGUCGUAAAGCUCUGUUGUUAGGGAAGAACAAGUACCAGAGUAACUGCUGGUACCUUGACGGUACCUAACCAGAAAGCCACGGCUAACUACGUGCCAGCAGCCGCGGUAAUACGUAGGUGGCAAGCGUUGUCCGGAAUUAUUGGGCGUAAAGCGCGCGCAGGUGGUUCCUUAAGUCUGAUGUGAAAGCCCACGGCUCAACCGUGGAGGGUCAUUGGAAACUGGGGAACUUGAGUGCAGAAGAGGAAAGUGGAAUUCCACGUGUAGCGGUGAAAUGCGUAGAGAUGUGGAGGAACACCAGUGGCGAAGGCGACUUUCUGGUCUGUAACUGACACUGAGGCGCGAAAGCGUGGGGAGCGAACAGGAUUAGAUACCCUGGUAGUCCACGCCGUAAACGAUGAGUGCUAAGUGUUAGAGGGUUUCCGCCCUUUAGUGCUGCAGCUAACGCAUAAGCACUCCGCA